rnacentral:rRNA from 1 species
UGAAUACGAGACGCUAAGGCGUCGAAGUAGUGUAUGUCAUACUUCCAAGAAAAGCUUGCACUGUCAUAGAUAAAAAACGCCUGUACCAUAACCGACACAGGUGGGUAGGUAGAGUAUACUAAGGGGCGCGAGAUAACUCUCUCUAAGGAACUCGGCAAAAUAACUCCGUAACUUCGGGAGAAGGAGUGCCUUAUUCGUAAGGUUGCAAUAACAAGAUCCAAGCAACUGUUUAUCAAAAACACAGGUCUCCGCUAAGUCGUAAGACGAUGUAUGGGGGCUGACGCCUGCCCAGUGCCAGAAGGUUAAAGAAGUUGGUUAGCAAUUGCGAAGCUGAUAACUGAAGCCCUGGUGAACGGCGGCCGUAACGAUAACGGUCCUAAGGUAGCGAAAUUCCUUGUCGGGUAAGUUCCGACCCGCACGAAAGGCGUAAUGAUUUGGAUACUGUCUCGGAGAGGGGCUCGGUGAAAUAGACUUGUCUGUGAAGAUGCGGACUACCUGCACCAGGACAGAAAGACCCUAUGAAGCUUUACUGUAACUUGAAAUUGAAAUUGGACUUUAUUCGCGCAGUAUAGGUGGGAGGCGUUGAUUAUAAUCUUGUGGGAUUAUUGGAGCCAUCAGUGAGAUACCACUCUUGUAAUGUUAGAUUUCUAACUUUGAAUCAUUAUCUGGUCAAAGAACAGUUUCAGGCGGGCAGUUUGACUGGGGCGGUCGCCUCCUAAACGGUAACGGAGGCGUACAAAGGUUUCCUCUGAACGGUUAGAAAUCGUAUCUAGAGUGUAAAGGCAUAAGGAAGCUUGACUGUGAGACCUACAAGUCGAGCAGGGACGAAAGUCGGUCUUAGUGAUCUGACGGUACUGAGUGGAAAGGCCGUCACUCAACGGAUAAAAGUUACUCUAGGAUAACAGGCUGAUCUCCCCCAAGAGUUCACAUCGACGGGGAGGUUUGGCACCUCGAUGUCGGCUCAUCGCAUCCUGGGGCGGUAGUACGUCCCAAGGGUUGGGCUGCUCGCCCAUGAAAGCGGUACGCGAGCUGGGUUCAGAACGUCGUGAGACAGUUCGGUCCAUAUCCGGUGUAGGCGUUAGAAUAUUGAGAGGAGCCUUCUUUAGUACGAGAGGACCGAGAAGGACAUACCUCUGGUGUACCAGUUAUCGUGCCAACGGUAAACGCUGGGUAGCUAUGUAUGGAGUGGAUAACCGCUGAAAGCAUCUAAGUGGGAAGCCCACCUCAAGAUAAG